rnacentral:lncRNA from 1 species
GGAAAAAGGUGACACAGCAGUCAUACCAAGUUACCUAGAGCCCAAGAGGAUUUUAAGGAAAAUGGGUGUUAAGGUAGAGGGAGGAGCAAAAUCCUGGAGUUGACCCCAAGCUCCAUGAACAUUCUGUUAGUUACCAAAUUCUAUUCCUGGACCUUCAGAAAAAGGAAACUGAAUGACACUGAAGGAUCAUUGGGGUGUCCUAACCUCAGAUAAAGUGAGGCCUUAUGAAAUGAAGAUGAAGGAAUAUUUAAUCAAGUCACAGUCAGGGCCUCACAUACUUGGAACGAUAAAACCGGAAAAAGUCACGUGGCAAGAGGAUUCACAUUUCCAAGACAUCACUUCUGAGGGUGCUGAUGAGCCGGAGAUGUCAGAAAUUGCAAAGCACCAAGAAAGAUAAUUACCUCAUAGCUAUAGGAACGUUUAGAGCUUAGCAGAAAAAUAGUCACUAGACAGGUUAGCGAGACAUUUGGGAUCCUUUCAGGUAGGUCUAUCUCCUUUAACUUUUUCCUGUCUUUCUGGUGUUACUGUUAGAUAUGCCGAGUGUUCUUGUCAGCCACAUACGUCCGUGCGGUUCUUCAUCCUAAUGAAUCUGGGGCUUGCUCUUCUGAAGCCAGUGAAUUUUCGAUUUAAAAACAAAGACAACAACAACAAAAGAAAACAUACACAGCCCCCAAAAAUUACACAGGCCACCAAAACAAUUGCUUGUUCUAUUUUGUAGAAUAUAGUCUCAAGACAGGCUUAAAUGACGUUUGUUUCUUGAGACUUGCUAGAUAACGCGGAUGAAAUGUAUGGCUGUGUUCAUACAGUUACGGCCCUGCAAUCUUCCAGCCCGUCUGAUUUGCAGGGUGUGUCAGAAUGGAGAUCUCAGCCCCUGGCAGGCAGCGCUUCUGGGGCCAGCUGUGGGAUCCUGCUGCUGAGCAUUUAAUGCAAGAGCUGCUGUUUCACUGCAAUUUAGAUUGCAGCAUGUUCAGGGAGACAGCUGCUGCCUUUCAUUUUUCUUAGUACACCAGGCUGCAGUAGGGAACAUUUCUGCUGGAGCCAACAUGUGGUGGGGGAGAAGAGAAUAGGAGGGACGUGGAGGAUAGAGCUUCUGACUUUAUCGUGUUGUUCAUUCAUGAUUGUUGGGAGCAGCAGCCGAAUCAGAAGAGUUG